rnacentral:rRNA from 1 species
AUUGAACGCUGGCGGAAUGCUUUACACAUGCAAGUCGAACGGCAGCACGGGGGCAACCCUGGUGGCGAGUGGCGAACGGGUGAGUAAUACAUCGGAACGUGCCCGGUCGUGGGGGAUAACGUAGCGAAAGUUACGCUAAUACCGCAUACGAUCUGAGGAUGAAAGCGGGGGACCUUCGGGCCUCGCGCGAUCGGAUCGGCCGAUGUCAGAUUAGGUAGUUGGUGGGGUAAAGGCCUACCAAGCCGACGAUCUGUAGCUGGUCUGAGAGUACGACCAGCCACACUGGGACUGAGACACGGCCCAGACUCCUACGGGAGGCAGCAGUGGGGAAUUUUGGACAAUGGGCGCAAGCCUGAUCCAGCCAUUCCGCGUGCAGGACGAAGGCCUUCGGGUUGUAAACUGCUUUUGUAUGGAACGAAAAGGCUCUGGCUAAUACCUGGGGCUCAUGACGGUACCGUAAGAAUAAGCACCGGCUAACUACGUG